rnacentral:lncRNA from 1 species
AUGCCUUCAACUUGUAUAGCUGCUCCUCAAUACUAACAGUUAGAGGAUGAGAUCUGGAUGGGAAGCUGAUUGAACGGAGAUGACAAGCAGCCAUUUGUUUCACUUCUAAAGAAGAAAGCCUACCAGGAAUGUGAAUAUGCAGGUAGUCUUGUUUUCUGUUUAACCCACUCCAUUGGGCAUCUUAUAUAUGUAUUAUGUAAGAGCAAAAGAAAUAGGAAUCAAGCUUCCUGAUCUACAUUAGCUGUCAUGUGCUGAGUUUUGCUACUGUCCAAGCAAUGUCUCAAGAUUGUUGUGUUGUGAUUAAGCAAUCUGAUUAAACAAGCACUUGAUUAUUGAUUAUAAUAUUGUCACAAUAAAUACCAUGCCUCUGACGUUCCAAUUCAUUGAGAUAACCAUCAAAAAGCUAUUUAAAUAGCAUGAAACUUGGAACCAUGCUUGCAUAUUAUGAUUCUAUUAACAUAAUCAUAAUAAUAGUUUAAUGUUAUUAUUUGAUAAAGUUGUUUGGUCAUUUGUUUACAUGUGCAGAAUUUGAUGACCUUCAAUAGAAUAUUAACAUCCACAAGUAAGGUGCAGCUUCCUUCCCAGACAAACAAGAACUGAUUAUUGUUUUUUCAUGUAUUAUCUGCACGCCAUUGGACAAUGAGAUUCUCGACACUUGACAAACUCUAGCUGUGAUGGCUGGUGUCUAGGAACAGGUAGAAUCUUGACAGCCUCUUUUUGCUUUAUAUUAGGCACAUUCUAUGCAUGGUGUAGAUAAAUAAUUUAUACUGAAAUCAUAGAAGAGAUGAUAAGAGUCUGGUUGACCAAAAGGGGACCAUGAUCCAUCCAUAUUGCUGCAGAGAAAGUGAAUCUGUCCUGUUUUUUCCCCAACCGUGGCAAUAAGAAAAAGAUGAGAGCAAAGUUUUGAAAUGCACUCCAUCUUUUUUAAUUAAAGAAAUGGCAAUAUGAUCCUAUUUUCAUAUAACUGAGUAACAAGGGUAGUAUAAAUAAUUUAGUCAUUUAAUUAAAUAAAAGAGAUGCAGUGAAGUGUAUUUAUAAAAUUAGAUCCAAUUGAUUAAACGAAAACUCCUACAAAAAAAUUCUAUGGGCUUUUUAGUGAUCAAGAAAUUCUUUUGGUUUUAUAUUUCCAAUACUUUAAUUUAAGUCUUGACUAUCAAGAAAAUCUAUAUAAUUUGGCUCUCAUUAGCUUCUAGUCUGAUCUGAUUUGCUCCAUUAACAGCAUAACUAAUUAUUUUUAAUGAUCAAGAAAAGAAGCUAUUGGAUUUGAGACAAAAUGCAAUGGCAUACACAAGAACAUGUUUGUGCUCAAAAUCUUUUGAUUGGUGAAAAGGAAAAUUCAUUUUCUCUAAGAAAUCAUAUACAUGCAUUUUUUUUCUAGUCAAGAUGUCAUGUAAAUUCAACAAAAUAACAUAAUUUGAACCUUUUCUUCUCUUUUUUCCUUUUGUUUUUCCUUUUUUUUUUGCCUGCAGUGAAGUGUGAAAUUGCAAUUGCAUCUUGAAUGGAAUAUGAAAUUCUGAAGAGAAUAUAUUUUUGAAGUGUGGAAGGCAAAUUGAUGGAAAAAUGAGCAAUCUUAACAUGUUAGUAUUGAAUUCAUUCUCUAUCUGUACAUAUCUACAAUUUGGAGUAGAACUCUAUGAAACAAAAUUGUGGUGAACAGUUGAUUGAAGCAACACCACUAAUGAUUCAGAAUGUUGAGAAGGGACACUCUGGUUUUCACCAAUAGCCUAUAUAGGCAUUCCAGCUCCUCUUCUGCCUCUUGCAUGCUAGACUCAAAUGCUUCCAAGUCUUUAAGAAGGCUUUGAAUUUGGGAGAGACUGAUGUCUUUGCUUGACUUCAGGAUAAGCAAUUCAGCAUCAAUCUUCUCUACUUCAUUUUCUUCAGUUUCCACAUCAUAUGAAACACGCUUCGACUGUAGCAAUUUUGGGAUUAGAAACCAGCCAGAGGGCAAUGAUUUUACCUUAGGCUGAGAAAUGAAAGAUAGGAUUGACUUGAACAUCACAAGACUAAUUCUCUGAACUCCUCUUAGCAUGCUGAUCAUGUUCUCCAAAUUGGAGUCCAAUGUUGUUAUUGUAAAAUGCAUCUCCUUUUUCUUCAAGUUUCUUAGACACUUGCUAAUUGCUUUGUUCAACUUCUUUCUAGAUACCAUGUAUGCAUCAACUUCUCUUGUGAAAUAGAGUCUGUGCUUUUUCUUCUGCGGAGAGAUAGUUCAAGUUCUUGCAAACAUUCCUUCAUCU